rnacentral:rRNA from 1 species
CUUGGUCAUUUAGAGGAAGUAAAAGUCGUAACAAGGUCUCCGUUGGUGAACCAGCGGAGGGAUCAUUACAGAGUUGCAAAACUCCCAACCCUUUGUGAACGAACCUACCAGUUGCCUCGGCGGCGAGCCUUUCAGGCGGACCGCCGAAGGAAUACAAACUCUUUGCAUUAUAGUAUCUCUGAUUACUUAUUCAAUAAGUUAAAACUUUCAACAACGGAUCUCUUGGUUCUGGCAUCGAUGAAGAACGCAGCGAAAUGCGAUAAGUAAUGUGAAUUGCAGAAUUCAGUGAAUCAUCGAAUCUUUGAACGCACAUUGCGCCCGCUAGUAUUCUGGCGGGCAUGCCUGUUCGAGCGUCAUUUCAACCAUCAAGCCCUAGGCUUGUGUUGGAGCCCUGCGGCUGCCGCAGCCUCCUAAAAACAGUGGCGGGCUUGCUAUCACACCGAGUGCAGUAGUUUACUCUUCGCUCAGGGCGUGUGGCGGGUGCUGGCCGUGAAACCCCCUACUUCUUAAGGUUGACCUCGGAUCAGGUAGGAAUACCCGCUGAACUUAAGCAUAUCAAUAAGCGGAGGA